CCGCUGCUGGACGGCGGGCGGGUGUUCGGGACGCUCGGGGUGUCCAGUUCCCGGCCGCUGGCGUUCGACGACGCCGACACCGAGC
rnacentral:tRNA from 1 species